GCUUUGCUGACGCGGAGGGACAUUACCGAGUUUACAACUCCCAAACCCAAUGUGAACCAUACCAAACUGUUGCCUCGGCGGGGUCACGCCCCGGGUGCGUCGCAGCCCCGGAACCAGGCGCCCGCCGGAGGGACCAACCAAACUCUUUUCUGUAGUCCCCUCGCGGACGUUAUUUCUUACAGCUCUGAGCAAAAAUUCAAAAUGAAUCAAAACUUUCAACAACGGAUCUCUUGGUUCUGGCAUCGAUGAAGAACGCAGCGAAAUGCGAUAAGUAAUGUGAAUUGCAGAAUUCAGUGAAUCAUCGAAUCUUUGAACGCACAUUGCGCCCGCCAGUAUUCUGGCGGGCAUGCCUGUCCGAGCGUCAUUUCAACCCUCGAACCCCUCCGGGGGGUCGGCGUUGGGGAUCGGGAACCCCUAAGACGGGAUCCCGGCCCCGAAAUACAGUGGCGGUCUCGCCGCAGCCUCUCCUGCGCAGUAGUUUGCACAACUCGCACCGGGAGCGCGGCGCGUCCACGUCCGUAAAACACCCAACUUCUGAAAUGUUGACCUCGGAUCAGGUAGGAAUACCCGCUGAACUUAAGCAUAUCAAA
rnacentral:rRNA from 1 species